GCUCGGUUGAUCUAGUUGGUUAUGAUGUGGACCUAAUACGACUUCGCGGCGUUUCAAGUCCAAUGUCGGCGGUUCGAUCCCGCCACUGAGCA